rnacentral:rRNA from 1 species
AACGAACGCUGGCGGCAUGCCUAACACAUGCAAGUCGAACGAGACCUUCGGGUCUAAGUGGCGCACGGGUGCGUAACGCGUGGGAAUCUGCCCUUGGGUUCGGAAUAACAGUUAGAAAUGACUGCUAAUACCGGAUAAUGUCUUCGGACCAAAAGAUUUAAUCGCCCAGGGAUGAGCCCGCGUAGGAUUAGCUAGUUGGUGAGGUAAAGGCUCACCAAGGCGACGAUCCUUAGCUGGUCUGAGAGGAUGAUCAGCCACACUGGGACUGAGACACGGCCCAGACUCCUACGGGAGCAGCAGUAGGGAAUAUUGGACAAUGGGUGAAGCCUGAUCCAGCCAUGCCGCGU